rnacentral:tRNA from 1 species
ACUCAAGUAGCUUAUAUUUAGAGCGUGACACUGAAGAUGUUAAGGAAAUAAAUUUUAUUUUUGAGUA